rfam:Gossypium raimondii Chr01_contig_17, whole genome shotgun sequence.
UUUUAAAAAAAAUUAUCUAUUUGUACUAUUGAAAAUUGACAUGUUUAACAAAAUAAUUAAAUAACGACACGUAAUGUGACAUAUGUACGUCAUGUUAACAAAUAAAAAUCAACUUUCAACAGUAAAAAUAAAUAAAAAUUUUAAGA